CCUUAUCAUUCCCGCGUCCAGCCCGACAUGGGAAGCUGGACGGAGAACUGAUAAGGGC
rnacentral:pre_miRNA from 1 species